rnacentral:lncRNA from 1 species
CACGAAGUGAGUUUUCAAGACAUCAACAAGGCUUUUGAUUUACUCGUUGAAGGAAAGAGUCUACGAUGUGUUAUUUGGAUGGAUAAGUGAUCGAUCCCUGUUAUACUUGUCUCGUGUUCUUGAAAAAGGAUUGCUUCAUAUUCCAUAUGAAUCGUGACGUUAAUUCAAUCUGUAACUAUACUUGUCUCGUGUUCUUGAAAAAAGGAUUGCUUCAUAAUCCAUAUGAAUCGUGACGUUAAUUCAAUAUGUAACUAUACUUGUCUCGUGUUCUUGAAAAGGAUUGCUUCAUAUUCCAUAUGAAUCGUGACGUUAAUUCGAUAUGUAACUAUACUUGUCUCGUGUUCUUGAAAAAAGGAUUGCUUCAUAUUCCAUAUGAAUCGUGACGUUAAUUCGUAUAUGUAACUAUACUUGUCUCGUGUUCUUGAAAAGGAUUGCUUCAUAAUCCAUAUGAAUCGUGACGUUAAUUCAAUCUGUAACUAUACUUGUCUCGUGUUCUUGAAAAAGGAUUGCUUCAUAAUCCAUAUGAAUCGUGACGUUAAUUCGAUAUGUAACUAGGAUUAUACAAGAUCAAGAAUAUUUCAGUGUAAUGUUAUUACUCUUUUGCAUAUUUUUGUUGAAUCUUUCUGUUGUCUGCUUUCAUUUGAAGCACAAUCAGAAGUUAAAGGAGUGAAGUAAAUAAACAUAUUACUUAAUGCGCUCACAAACAUUCACAUUUUAAGGGCACAAUUUAUAUAGUAAUAACUUACUCUAAGAUUUUUUAUUUUUUUUAUGGUAUGCCACUCCUCGAGCAAGGAGUGUCAAUUUUUUUGAUCGUAUUGAAUACAAAUUCAUG